UAAAUAGCCAGGCUCGCCUCGGCGGGUCGCGGGCUUCUUAGAGGGACUAUUCGGAUGAGAAGCCGAUGGAAGUUUGAGGCAAUAACAGGUCUGUGAUGCCCUUAGAUGUUCUGGGCCGCACGCGCGCUACACUGACGGAGCCAGCGAGUACUCACCUUGGCCGGAAGGCCCG
rnacentral:rRNA from 1 species